UGCGCAGGACGCAGGACGCCAGUGCCCAGGGACGGCUGGUCCACUGUGAGGGGGUUCAGAGGAGUAGAAGAAUUAACGGUUGUAGUUCAGAUUCUUGGAAGAUGGAUGUUGACAUCAGCUACAUGGAACGGAUCCAUUCAUCAACCGAGGUGUCAGAGGAUGGAUGAAAACUCCUUAAGCAUGUUAGAAACGCAUCACCAUUGCUUUACUUCUGUCCGUGCCCAUCACCCGAGUGACCUCCUCAGCCGGGAUGGCCUCCCUUUGCUGUUUGGU
rnacentral:lncRNA from 1 species